rnacentral:rRNA from 1 species
AGCAGCCGCGGUAAUUCUAGCUCCAAUAGCGUAUAUUAAAGUUGUUGCAGUUAAAAAGCUCGUAGUUGAAUUUCGGGAUCAAUAUAUCGGUCGUGCCAUUGGUACGUACUGGUAUCAUUGGUUUCUCCUUUCUGACGAACCAUGAUGUCAUUAAUUUGGUGUCUUGGGGAAUCAGGACUGUUACUUUGAAAAAAUUAGAGUGUUUAAAGCAGGCUCAUGCUUGAAUUACAUUAGCAUGGAAUAAUGAAAUAGGACGUUUGAUUCUAUUUUGUUGGUUUCUAGGAUCAACGUAAUGAUUAAUAGGGAUAGUUAGGGCAUUAGUAUUCAAUUAUCAGAGGUGAAAUUCUUGGAUUUAUUGAAGACUAAUUACUGCGAAAGCAUUUGCCAAGGAUGUUUUCAUUAAUCAAGAACGAAAGUUAGGGAAUCGAAGACGAUCAGAUACCGUCGUAGUCUUAACCAUAAACUAUGCCGACUAGGGAUCGGAUGAUGUUAAUUUUUAAUGUACUCAUUU